rnacentral:lncRNA from 13 species
GCGGGAGCAGAAGUACGAGAGGCUGUACCAGUUGCAGUCGAUCAACAGUCUGCUCGAUUUUUACCAUCGCCGACGUCACCAUCACACCUUCUGAAUUUUUCGCAGGAUGCUUCUACCUCUUCGCAAUUGCACAAGAACAUCAGUACUAAUGCCAACUCCUUACAGGCGACAGUGCAAUCUCAGAUAUGUUUGGGCUAGGAUUGCCCCGAGAAUCUCUGAUGGGAAAUCAAUCAACGAUUGGCACCCCGAAUUAUCAUAAUUAUUAAUUAUAUGGCAGUUACGACCAAUCUCCUUCACAACAACAUGAGAUUGACACCCAAUCUGAGAGGCUACGCGGAAUCCUUGACGAACGCAAUGAUAGAGUUUUAUCUUGCUUCUCAGGAGAGAUUUACUCAGGAUAUGCAGCCGCACUAUGUGUAUUCUCCGCGCAAAAUGCCACGUUGGGUGCGCGACAUUUGCGAGACUAUUAGAUAUAUAAUUUUGAUAAUCUCUCCGUACAAGUCCUAGUG